rnacentral:rRNA from 1 species
GAUGAACGCUGGCGGCGUGCUUAACACAUGCAAGUCGAGCGAGAAGUUUUGAAAAGAUUCUUCGGAUGAAAUUUAAAAUGGAAAGCGGCGGACGGGUGAGUAACGCGUAGGCAACCUGCCCCAUACAAAGGGAUAGCAUUUGGAAACGAAUAUUAAUACCUUAUGAAACUUAACUAGUGCAUGCUAGGUAGGUCAAAGAUUUAUCGGUAUGGGAUGGGCCUGCGUCUGAUUAGCUAGUUGGUGAGGUAACGGCUCACCAAGGCGACGAUCAGUAGCCGACCUGAGAGGGUGAACGGCCACAUUGGAACUGAGACACGGUCCAAACUCCUACGGGAGGCAGCAGUGGGGAAUAUUGCACAAUGGGGGAAACCCUGAUGCAGCAACGCCGCGUGAACGAUGAAGGCCUUUGGGUCGUAAAGUUCUGUUCUAGGUGANGAAAAC